CCCCUCUGGCGACUGUUGCCUGAACUUUCCUGGGGACGGCGCUUGCCACGCCAGCCCCGGGUUCUCCAGCAUCAGAGCCCAAGGACAGGCCGCUCAGAAACCCUGGUGUGGGUCCUGCCUAUGACAAGGGCGGGCGGCAGGCUCCCGAGGUAAUGUGAGCUCCGCAGGGGCAGGCACCAGUCUGCUGUCUGUCCCGUUUGCGGCUCUUUCUCAAGCUUCCAGCACACGCCUGGUGCCCAGGGAAUGAAGGGAGAAACUGGCCGGGUGGCUUGCAGGGACUUCAAGGGACCCUUAAACAGGAGAAGGUUUUCAUGAAUCCUGUUG